rnacentral:rRNA from 1 species
AUUGAACGCUGGCGGCAGGCCUAACACAUGCAAGUCGAACGAGUGGCGGACGGGUGAGUAAUGUCUGGGAAACUGCCUGAUGGAGGGGGAUAACUACUGGAAACUGUAGCUAAUACCGCAUCCCAUCGGAUGUGCCCAGAUGGGAUUAGCUAGUAGGUGGGGUAAAGGCUCACCUAGCCGACGAUCCCUAGCUGGUCUGAGAGGAUGACCAGCCACACUGGGACUGAGACACGGUCCAGAAUCCUACGGGAGGCAGCAGUGGGGAAUAUUGCACAAUGGGCGCAAGCAGGAUGCAGCCAUGCCGCGUGUAUGAAGAAGGCCUUCGGGUUGUAAAGUACUUUCGGCAGGGAGGCGUUACCCGCAGAAGAAGCACCGGCUAACUCCGUGCCAGCCGCCGCGGUAAUUC